CUUCCUCACCGAAUCCCUUGGCUGUCCUUGCCAUAAUAAUGCUUGAGUGAGAUUGUAAGUUGCGAAGAAGGAAGCUACACUAAGGGAGAUUGAGAGGGAGAGUCGCGAGUGGAGAAGAAGAGUGUAGGGAGGAGAAGUGAGCAUAAUAGGAAGAAGGAGAAGUGGUCUAGAGAACUCAAAUCUUAACUCAAAUUUGUUUGGUAAGAUGGCUAUCAUUGUUUAAAUUUUGUCUUAGUUACAAUUGAUGAAAAACCCCCAAAUGUUGUGACCUUAGGGUUGUGUGAAUUUUUUUAUAAUGGAAGCUUGGUUAAACAAAUAUGUUAAGCUAACAAAGAUAGGACAUAAAAUGAAGGAAAUAGGGAAGAAAAUUGAAAAAAAAAAUCAAGUGGGAACCUCUAGCAAUAGGCCGCCAGUUUUGGAGAAAAAAAGGAGUGAUGGAAAUUUCAUGCAAGGUUUAAUAUGUGAGGUAAAGGUUAAUUUGUGAUUUAAAAUGGGGUUUGGUUAAGUUGAAGAAUUGGGUGUUCUUUUGUAAAUGGAAGGAUAGUUUUUGGUGUAGGGUUGGGAAGGAACUUGUUGUGUAGACAUGCUUAAAAUUAGAAACAAACGUGUAGGGAGUGUAUGUAUGAAUGUGGUGAAGAGCAUGAAGUAUUUGGAAUGGAAGAACUUGGAUGGAAGAAUG
rnacentral:lncRNA from 1 species